UGGGGAAUUUUGGACAAUGGGCGAAAGCCUGAUCCAGCAAUGCCGCGUGUGUGAAGAAGGCCUUCGGGUUGUAAAGCACUUUUGUCCGGAAAGAAAUCCUUGGCUCUAAUACAGUCGGGGGAUGACGGUACCGGGAAGAAUAAGCACCGGGCUAACUACGUGCCAGCAGCCGCGGUAAUACGUAGGGUGCAAGCGUUAAUCGGAAUUACUGGACGUAAAGCGUGCGCAGGCGGUUUGCUAAGACCGAUGUGAAAUCCCCGGGCUCAACCUGGGAACUGCAUUGGUGACUGGCAGGCUAGAGUAUGGCAGAGGGGGUAGAAUUCCACGUGUAGCAGUGAAAUGCGUAGAGAUGGUGGAGGAAUACCGAUGGCGAAGGCAGCCCCCUGGGCCAAAUACUGACGCUCAUGCACGAAAGCGUGGGGAGCAAACAGGAUUAGAUACCCUGGUAGUCCACGCCCUAAACGAUGUCAACUAGUUG
rnacentral:rRNA from 1 species